rnacentral:lncRNA from 1 species
UGUUUUAUAGGCCGUUAAUUCGUGAUGAAAGGAAAUAAAAACACAUAACAUACAUUUCCACUUAAUUGGAAAAAGUUAGUUUUUAUUAUUACGACCACUAAAUCGGGUGCGACCAAAAGCCCCGUUUAACGGCAAUAUUGGGUAGAAUUCCACUGAGCCCCGACUCAAAACCCUAUAUAAGGGUGAGUGGAGUCCAUUGGAGACUUUUUACACUCUCCAAACUCUCUCUCUCUACAACUUUUUCCCGAGCCAAAAAUCGUCCGUUUCGAGCCCCAAACGAGUAGGUAAACUAUCCUAACUCGUUGUAUAACUUAUCUAGCGUACAAAUUCGAGUUUAAAACAUAAAAUAGGGACAACAUCAUGAGUUUACGGCCCAAGAACACUCUUGGGCCGUGAACACCAAUUAAUGGGGUUUUUAAGCCCCAAAACCCCUCCAAAUUGUCCCUAAGGCUUGGAUAUGACUUGUAGGCUUAUGGAAUCGGACUUAGAACACCUUGAACUAGCAUUUUGAAGAGUAAACAAGAGUUUACUGCCCAAGAACAUGCUUGGGCCGUAAACUCCUCUUCAUGGGGAGUAAACUAUAUUUUGUGUGUUAAAAAUGCCCUUAAACACACCAAUGGCCUUGGAUUAAAUUCUAGAAACGACCAACAACAAGCUAGGGACCGUAAAUGCAAUAAAAACAACUCCAUUAGGAGUUCACGGCCGUAAACCCCUCAUGGAAGGGUGCCUAGGCCGUAAACUCCCACAAAGGGGUUAUUUGGUGCCCUAAACUCCCCAUUUGACUUGGAAAAAUGCUUAGGAAAUUACCCACUACCACUUAAGCACUUAAAACACCAAAAGAAUAAGGGUAUAGGAGCUUACGGAUGUAAGCUCCCUUUCUUAUGGUCGUAAACUCCUCAAAGGGGCCAUUUCAUGCUUUAAACUCAUUCACACCUUAUGGUUUAGGACUUAGAAUAAUUCCAUGAGCAAGUAGAAGCCUUAAACAUCACCAUGAGUUUACGGCCGUAAACUCAUGGUGAGUAGUCCCUAGGCCGUAAGCAUGGUGUUAGGGGUUUACUCUUGGAGUGUAAACUCCAUUCCCUAGCCAUACACACCCUUAGACGCUACCCGGGACACCCAAACACUUAUCUAAAGUGUUUUCCGCUCCUUUGAGUGCGUAUACUUGUUUAAUUAGUAUUAAAUAUACUAAUUGUAUGUGAACAUAUGUUAUCAUAUGUUAAAUAGGUCAUUGAGUGUGUUCGAGUCCUUGCGUGACACCGAACGCCCAAACGGCACCUUCGUCGGACCUACUUACACCAGGUGAGUUCAUACCCCUGAAUGAACCUUUUAAAUGUUUUCACAUGUUUUAUAGGGGGGAAUACAAGUUAAACAUGCCAGUUAUCAUAUCAAUCACAUGUGAUUGAUAACCCGCAUGCACAAGAUUUUACCAUACUUUAUACUAUUUUACCGAUUAGGACACUAUAAUGGUUUUCUAAAAGGUUUUCAUUCGUUUCGAAACUCUUACUUAUACUGUUUUGUCUAAAUUCAUUCUAAACUGAUUUAUGAAAGAUUUCCAAAGGUUUUCAAACACGUUUUUACAACAUAAUACAAAUUGUGAUUUUCUCCGAAUAUAAAGGUUUUUCAUCGAAGUUUCUCUUUCACGACAUAUACUUUUACUUAUUAGAUACUGCUGCUUCGCUUAUACUUAUUUUAUACUCCUACUUAGUAACGCUUUCACUUAUACUUGUAGUCGCUUAUACCGAUAGACACUCUUACUUCACUUAUUGUCGUCUCUACUUCGUGAUACGCUUAUACUUGAUCGACACUCCUACUUCACUUGCGAUCGUUUCUACUUCACUUGUACGACACUCUUACUUCACUUGCGACCGCUCCUACUUCACUUAUUAGACACUCCUACUUCACAAGAAUCACUUCUACUUGAUACACACUCAGUAGUAGUUAUAUAUGUGUCUGUGCUGAUAUAGGUAUAUAUAAGUAAUGAUUGAAAGACUUAGGAAGGCUCGUCCGCCCUAUUUCCUUUUCUUCGUAGAGAUGUGGUCUGGUGGGAUCGGAUGGCCGUCUGAAGGUCGUUUGACUCAUUAGUUAUAUAUUAUAUAUAUAUGAGUAUGGACAUAUAGGAAUUCUCUAGUCAGUUCAGUUAAGAGUCUCUACCUCUAGUCUACACUUACAUUAGAAACCCACUAUUGGGAAGUCUCUACCUCUAGUUCAGCACUUACACACUGCCCACUAUUUGGAAGUCUUUACCUACUAUUUGGGAUGCAUCUUCAAGACACGGCCUUCUCCGUCGUCUAGUUGGUAACCAGAGUCUCCUGUAGGGAGAGCGGACAUUGUGUGUAUAGAUCUAUACGGGAUUUACACCCCCACACCCUGACUGCUAGCUACAGUUCACGACUCACUAAGCCAAGGGGUGACAAAUGUCACAUUAUAUAGACGCUUGUAGGGCGUCUGGUACUCUAGUGUCGGUUAGUAUGGUUACGAGUAUCCCGGGUUACCUUAUAAUUCAUGGCCUUAAGGUAACGGUAUUUCGCCAGCAAUUUACACUGUAUGCUGGUAAUUCAUGUUCAGAGUCACACUGUUUUGACCUUACAAGAUGUAUCUUUCAUUUGAUGCUGUCUGGGGUCUGUCUCCUCUGUUUUUACCUUACAAGACGUAUCUCUCAUUUGAUGCUGUCUGGGGUCUGUAUCCACUGUAUUCACUGUUUUAGACCUUGCUAGACGUAUAUUUCAUUUGAUAUUGUCUGCGGUCUGUAUUCACUGUUCUGGACCUUACCAGCUGUACCUUUCAUUUGGUACCUUCUGGGGUCUGUGUCUCUAUUUGUUAGGCUGAACCAGGCGUGUCGUUAGUUCGAUACUCUCCUGGAGUCUAUGAUUCCUUGCCUUAGUCAGCAGUCCUCACUGUUGAGGCAUAUGUUAUUUCCCUGUUGUCUCUUGCUUUCUUUAAUAGUCAAAUUCAGUAUUUUGAUAAUGAUAGCAAUUAAGGGAAAACCACUUUUUACCACAUAACACUGACCAGCCUUGGUAGAGGGCUGCUUUGAUUAAAGAAAAUAUAGGAUUUUCUGGAAAGAACUCUAAUACACUAUAAACACUUAAACUAUUACUUUAUAAGUUAUUUGAAUGAAAUGUCACUAAAUACUUAUGAACUCACCAGCAUUUGUAAAAAUGCUGAUACUCGCUUUUCAAAUAACUUGUAUUCUCAAGUUAGCAUUAGACAGGUACAUCCUCGGAGCUGUUGAUGAAGAUAGCUUAGUACCACGCUGUAUUUAUUCUAUUACUUGUAUUACUUCGAUGUAUUAAUGUAACCAUGUAAAACUAUUACUAUUAAUGCAAUGUUUUGUUGUACUUUGAUUACUAUAAUGCAUGUGUUGUGAUACUUGACAUGACGUCAUCCACCCCAGAACGUUUCCGCCGUUCCGGUUUUGGGGUGUGACAGAUUGGUAUCAGAGCAUUGUUUAUAGUGAGCUAAGUAUAUCAAUUCAUAAAAGAUAUACAACCUAUAAACACAAAGGGAUAAAACACUCUGACCAAGAAUUAUACUUUAAAAUAUAACCAUAUUUUACCAAAGUAUAAUAACAUCCAGAAUCUAAACACUCGAACAAAAGUAUCACAAGAAGAACAAUAAUAAAAGUCUUCGGAUGUUGAGCACUACAGUCAAACCUGGGCAGUUAUGUAAUCGUAAGCUGGGAUAAAUGUAACCUGAUCAACUACAUUUAUCCGAGAUGCGAUGAACGUGUGCUCGGGAGUGAUAGUGGUGUGCAACAGGUCUGAAACUUACCAACUAGGAAUGCUAGAGCCAAACAUAAAGUUAAAAUACUAUAGGAGUAUUUUAGAACACUAAAAGAUCCACACUAAUCCCAGAAUGAAACUCAGAAGAUAAGAAUCAAACAAGAAUUAAAAUACCAUAGGGGUAUUUUAGAAUCCAUAAACAACCUUGCGUGAAUAACUAAAAAGAUCCUUAUUGAUAUACCUACAACUACAGAGGGUGUACUCCCAAGGUUAUAUAUAAUAAGGAUCCCAUAGGCUAAGAAUGUGUGGUUUCGCUCUACUUCCUUUUCCUUGUUUGGAUGUGGAUACCGAGUAGUAUCACAUAUUCGAAGGCCUAUCGGAUCUAAGUUAUAUAUGAUUUGUAUACCCUGUGUAAUCGUAGCAGGACUCGAUAUGGAUCAUACAGUGAAAUGUUAAUAAUCUCUUAGGAUUCUUUAGACAUUUCCAUUCUCGCACGAACCCUGUAGAAAACCCUAUCCACUUCAGUGCUUGACAGAAGAGUUGAUUCCGACCCCGAGGAGAUUCAUUGAGAAGAUUUCCUGUUCGGAAAUAAAUGAACUGGGUCGAGACUAUUGAAUGCACCAAGUGCCCAUAUUCUCUUAGGGACAGUGGUGAGAGAUUCGCCUAAACUUCGGAGAUUCCCAGUCAUCCAUCAUGAAGUGAUGACACCCACAGUUGGAAUCAGAAGGAAGGCGGAGUAGAAAUUCAAUAUGUCCAUACGAGAAGAGAACCCUAGGAAACUACCCGAAGGAAACCAACGCCGAUUCCAGUCAAAGAUACGAGGCAGACCGAGGGAGCCAGUACAUGGAACCCGGGAAUUGUCUUUUCCUCGUGUUCGUCACGCUAAUACACCCAUAAAAUAAUACAAUUUAGUGAGUUAGUGGUUACACUACUCACGCUAUGUGUUAGGUAAAUCGUCGUUUCCCGUUGCCAGAUACACGAUUAGGGCGGAUCCCCGCAUCUCUAUUGAGAGAAUUUUAGCCAUCUGCCCUUGUGAGCCUCUCUUUCCGCAGUUUCGUUCCGAACCGUUCUCAAAUCUCUCCAGGCCGGAGAGUGAAACCUUUCCCAGUAUAAAGGUAACUUAGUAGGAACGACUCGCAUCUUAUGGCCUUUUUCCGAUACUCAUACACCCACUUCGAUUACCAGGACUACAUCAUAGGGAUGUAGGUCGACACUCAGACGACCAGUACCCGAGGCACGGGAAAAUUUAUGCCUAAUACGUUCAGGACAGAAAUGUCCAGGGUUAACCAUCGUCUCUCAUUACCUUGUAUUCCUUUCCGUGUAGGAAAACCAUGCCACCGAAGAAGCGUAACCAAUCCACAAGCAAGAAACCUACUCUCUUAUUUGAUGAAGCUACGUUCCAAGUUGCAGUCUCAGCAGCCGUAGUAGCUGUCAUGGCUCACCUAAAUGCUAACACCGCCAAUGUUUGCAAGGGCCCUAUCGGGAUUUCCAAUCCUGGCAAUGGACAACAGCAACCAACACUUCCAUAAUCAGCCACCCAAGAACCUCACUCAAACCCACUAAAGAGAAAACUCAAGAUUGAGGAGGGAAGUACCUCGGCUCAAGCACCUUCCGAAGGGCAACGAGCUGAGGCUGUCUAUACCCCUGUCAAUCCUUCCCUCCCGACUCCAAGAAGACCGUACCUAGGAGACCUUCCCCACUGCAGCAAGUGCAGCUACCAUCAUCAUGGUGCCUGCCGGGAACUCUAUUGUGCUAGGUGCCACAUGCUGGGGCAUACCGCUCGCGUCUGUAGAACCCCGGUUGAGUUCAUUACAUCAACUACCAAUGUGGCGACCCGCACAGUUUGCUACAUAUGUGGUGAAAUGGGACACUUCAAGAAGGACUGCCUAACCGAAGGAAAGAUAAAGACACAGGAGGAGCCUAACUCUACUGCUUAGGGAGAAGCAUCAAGACACUCGUUAGAUUUUGGUACGUCUCUCGAUCUCAGAUAACUAAACUAAAUACAUUAAAAGAUUAAUUCAAAAUGUAACUUCUCCCCUGUAAGGCGAAAGUCGCAGCACUGUUAUAAGAUUUAAAAAUUCAUCAGGUAAAACUAUAAUGGCUAAACAUAUACGUUACGGCCAUGUAUAUUUAAGAUGGACAGACCUAGAGUAAGCGAAUGCCGCCUCAUUCCCUGUUCCUCGUUUGGUUGUGGAUUUAGGGCGGGGUCGCUCAGUCAACAGUCCUCCCCACCUUAAAUAUACAUGACUAGUAUAUGUGAGGCGAUUAUAGAAAUGCCUUGUGAGAAUCUACUCAUGAAAAGGUACUCUAUUCGGAAACGCUUAGAACUCUCUAUAGUUCCGCGUCGACUCUAUCGGUCCAGGUAUCCGUGGUAGUGAUACAUAGGACGAAACCCGAGACGCCUAGAACUGGUGUGCCUGUUCAGCACAUGACUCCAUCGAUCUUCACUUUAUAUCAUGUCGGAGUGUGCCAACUUCGACAACUCUAUUGAUCAUGGUUUGACUUCGUGCAACCAUGUGUUCAUCCUUAGUGCUGUGUAAAAAGAACUUUCUCCAUAGCCAUGUCGGCAAAUAAAGGUUCUCCCGAACCUAAAACCUAACACAAAUAAUCUAACCUAAAGCGAUCCGUCAAUCGUCCCUCUUAUCCCAAACCUUCCGAAGUACCCAAGAGAGGGUACAGUGCGCCGUUGACCAACCCCUCGUAGUGAGAUGAACACCGAAGUGAACGACACUGCAGAUACUCUAGAAGACGACAACCAUCCGGAGCAUACUCAGAAGAAUCCCUGGAAAGACCCUUCGCACCUCGCACGUCAGGUUCAUAAGCAUAAAGAUUAGAACUCAUAAGACUGACCACUAUAACUAGGUAUAUGCGUACAGCUGAACAUCCUACCAACCUCAAUUAUAUACUGCUUGCAUACACCAAGUAUUGGUGGUUAAGCCAAGCAUGAGCUCUAUCACGAACCACUUCGCGAAACACUUUCACCCUAUUCCAUAACAUAGGAGCUGGAGUCAAGAGAAUCACUGCGGGUUAAACUAGUAAAGUUUCGAGUGAUGAGACCCUAUAAUCACUAGAAUUGACCUAGACCGAGGGAACUUAGAACCUUCGGAAGAUUAGUUGCAGUAGAUGUUCGCACUACUCAGGCACCUCGUCCACCCAGUUAUAGACAAGUGGUGCUUAUCAUCCUCCACCCUCUCGCAAGGAGGAAAUCGUCGUCGCCUGGUAGACGAAGAAUCACACUUUCCAAAGUAAACACUAGAAUACCGAGAACCACAGGAUAACCUUCGCAGUCAAGAACCCCUGAUCAAAGUGCGAUAGUAGUUACGUUGAGCCUCAUGACCCAGAUCCCGAAGAGGUUAUAGACUUGACACCAGCCUUGGUGUUAGUCGAAGGGUUAUGCAGGAACAUGCGCUUUCCGCACUAGAUCAAACCAAAGUCUUAGAGAUUCAUGGGACUAUUAGGUGUUCCACGAAUACUAUCUCACGCAGAGAUAGUAGAACCACCUCCCGAGAUAGUCCAACACUCGUCUGGUGAAACCUUAUAUUCCCGACCUUCAGGGUUUCCGCAUCUCAAGCUUCGUUAGUGCAGAUUCCUUUUGCACAAGCUUGAGAUAGACACUCUACAGCAAACCGAUAACCAUAGCCACGCAACCCACUCGACGAUCUAGAAAGUCUCUAUCAACCAGUUGACAGAAAACACGAAACCAAAGACCACUCGAGAUUCCUAAGAACCAACCUGAAGGACUAUACGCACAGUACGAGUGAGAACGUUAGGAACUUUGGAAUGGCGAUCACGCCAGUGAUGAUCUUACCAUAGAAGUACACUAUGUUCUUGGUACUGAAAAGCUCUACCAUUUCGAGAGCUUAGGACCAUAUGAGAAUCCUCAUGGAGACUCGGUCCAACCCUUUUCUGGCCGCCACUACCUUCGGAUAUACCACAAGAUUCACACCCGAUCGAUCCACUUCUUAGACUUGAUAUGUGAUUUCCCGACAACACUCUUCGUGCCUCACUCAUCUUGAUAGAAUCCAUUGAGAACUCUAACCCUGUAGAUACACCGGUUGGAACCCACUAGCUACACGAGACGGAAUCCGCAUCCCGUACGUGAAGGUCUGUGGGAAUUAUAAACACAGACUAGAGUUCGCUUGGGAAUGCGAGGACAACCGUAUAGAAAGUACUCCCUUACCUCUACUUGGCCAUUCAUACCUACUUCCUUGCCUAGACCUGAAUUUCGGGACGAAAUUCCCUCUAACGGGGGGAUGAUGUGACAACCCAAGAUGUUCCGUUACGUUUCCCCGUUACCAUUAACGCGUGAUGAAAGGAAAUAAAAACACAUAACAUACAUUUCCACUUAAUUGGAAAAAGUUAGUUUUUAUUAUUACGACCACUAAAUCGGGUGCGACCAAAAGCCCCGUUUGACGGCAGUAUUGGGUAGAAUUCCACUGAACCCCGACUCAAAACCCUAUAUAAGGGUGAGUGGAGUCCAUUGGAGACUUUUUACACUCUCCAAACAUUCUCUCUCUACAACUUUUUCCCGAGCCAAAAAUCGUCCGUUUCGAGCCCCAAACGAGUAGGUAAACUAUCCUAACUCGUUGUAUAACUUAU